GUGUGUAAGCGUAGCGAUGCGUUGAGCUAACCGGUACUAAGGAGCCGUGAGGCUUAACCUUACAACGCAGAAG
rnacentral:rRNA from 1 species